AUUGAACGCUGGCGGCAUGCCUUACACAUGCAAGUCGAACGGCAGCACGGGUGCUUGCACCUGGUGGCGAGUGGCGAACGGGUGAGUAAUACAUCGGAACGUACCUUAUCGUGGGGGAUAACGCAGCGAAAGCUGUGCUAAUACCGCAUACGCCCUGAAGGGGAAAGCGGGGGAUCGAAAGACCUCGCGCGAUUAGAGCGGCCGAUGCCUGAUUAGCUUGUUGGUGGGGUAAAAGCCCACCAAGGCGACGAUCAGUAGCUGGUCUGAGAGGACGUGCCGCCGCCCUGGGACUGAGACACGGCCCAGACUCCUACGGGAGGCAGCAGUGGGGAAUUUUGGACAAUGGGGGCAACCCUGAGCCAGCAAUGCCGCGUGAGUGAAGAAGGCCUUCGGGUUGUAAAGCUCUUUUGUCAGGGAAGAAACACCGGCUCGAACACAGUCCGGGAAUGACGGUACCUGAAGAAUAAGCACCGGCUAACUACGUGCCAGCCGCCGCUGUAA
rnacentral:rRNA from 1 species